ACGGGUAGGGUACGGGUGUAUCCAUCUCAAACGGAUAGGGGAUGGAUAUACCCAUUUGUGAGGAGGGUACAGGAGGGUAUUACUGUGGUUAUCCAUCCUUCCCCGUUACCCAAACUAUUCGCUACGAAGGAUCCCGGCCGCGGGCCGCCGCCGCCGCAGCGGGCGACCUCGUGAAGCUUCUCCUAUGAGGCUGGCACCGUCGUCCGAUCCUCAAUCACCACCGGCGAGCAAGUUCAAGGAGCAGGCCGCCAAGCAGCAGCAGUAGCUAAAUGGAACCUCAUGAGAUUGUUGGAAGCUCGGAUGGCACAGAAGAGAGGGAAAACAGCUCAAUUAACUUAUGCUCUGAAGGUGUCAGCCUCAAUUGAUCCUAGAGUUGUCGAAGAUAGCAUACCUGCUAAUGAAUCAUCUGUACCAACUCCAAAUGAAGAAGAUCAAACUAAUGAUGAUUAAGGACUAGAACUAAGAUGUUAGGAAAUGACACUGCCAUUCAGUUUCGACAGGCAAAUGGCACCAGGGAGUGGCGAUGGAAGUCGGCAGGGAAGGCAACUGCAAUCAACACUUCAGUAGUCAUCUUGUAUCCGGCAGCGAUCGUCAAAUAAUGGCGUUGAUUAGCGCCUAAGCUCGUGGCGCAUGAUAACAUUGUCAAAUUUUUUUUAAUUUUUCGUGUAACCCCAGCUGUAGAGAUACAAAUCGAGUCUAUUGUUAUCGAUCCACACGUAGUGCAUGUCGAGAGGAUUCUCUUUUAAAUAUUAUUUAUUAUCUCAGAUUAUUGUAUCAUAAGCAUCAAGCAACAAUCGCUCUGCAGGCUCACUGCUUUAGCGCUGUACGUAACGGACCAGGCUUUAUUGUUAUUCAUAUUCUGUGUUA